rnacentral:rRNA from 1 species
GAUGAACGCUGGCGGCGUGCCUAAUACAUGCAAGUCGAACGCACAGCGAAAGGUGCUUGCACCUUUCAAGUGAGUGGCGAACGGGUGAGUAACACGUGGAUAACCUACCUCAAGGUUGGGGAUAACAUUUGGAAACAGAUGCUAAUACCGAAUAAAACUUAGUAUCGCAUGAUACCAGGUUAAAAGGCGCUACGGCGUCACCUAGAGAUGGAUCCGCGGUGCAUUAGUUAGUUGGUGGGUAAAGGCUUACCAAGACAAUGAUGCAUAGCCGAGUUGAGAGACUGAUCGGCCACAUUGGGACUGAGACACGGCCCAAACUCCUACGGGAGGCUGCAGUAGGGAAUCUUCCACAAUGGGCGAAAGCCUGAUGAGCAACGCCGCGUGUGUGA